UUUCCCUGCGGAGUUGCUCAGGUCCGCCGCAUCUCCUGGGUCCGUAGGGUUUAGGUCGUAUUGUUAGUCACUAAACUUGGCCUCCUCCAAAUUUAGCGACUGACAUAUGACCAGAUA
rnacentral:sRNA from 1 species